CAGUCGAACGAAGCACCUUGAUUUGAUUCUUCGGAUGAAGAUCCUGGUGACUGAGUGGCGGACGGGUGAGUAACGCGUGGGUAACCUGCCUCAUACAGGGGGGUAACAGUUAGAAAUGACUGCUAAUACCGCAUAAGACCACAGCACCGCAUGGUGCAGGGGUAAAAACUCCGGUGGUAUGAGAUGGACCCGCGUCUGAUUAGGUAGUUGGUGGGGUAACGGCCUACCAAGCCGACGAUCAGUAGCCGACCUGAGGGGGUGACCGGCCACAUUGGGACUGAGACACGGCCCAAACUCCUACGGGAGGCAGCAGUGGGGAAUAUUGCACAAUGGGGGAAACCCUGAUGCAGCGACGCCGCGUGAGCGAUGAAGUAUUUCGGUAUGUAAAGCUCUAUCAGCAGGGAAGAAAAUGACGGUACCUGACUAAGAAGCACCGGCUAAAUACGUGCCAGCAGCCGCGGUAAUACGUAUGGUGCAAGCGUUAUCCGGAUUUACUGGGUGUAAAGGGAGCGUAGACGGAGUGGCAAGUCUGAUGUGAAAACCCGGGGCUCAACCCCGGGACUGCAUUGGAAACUGUCAAUCUGGAGUACCGGAGAGGUAAGCGGAAUUCCUAGUGUAGCGGUGAAAUGCGUAGAUAUUAGGAGGAACACCAGUGGCGAAGGCGGCUUACUGGACGGUAACUGACGUUGAGGCUCGAAAGCGUGGGGAGCAAACAGGAUUAGAUACCCUGGUAGUCCACGCCG
rnacentral:rRNA from 1 species